rnacentral:rRNA from 1 species
UGGGGAAUAUUGCACAAUGGGCGCAAGCCUGAUGCAGCCAUGCCGCGUGUGUGAAGAAGGCCUUCGGGUUGUAAAGCACUUUCAGCGAGGAGGAAGGUGGUGAGCUUAAUACGCUCAUCAAUUGACGUUACUCGCAGAAGAAGCACCGGCUAACUCCGUGCCAGCAGCCGCGGUAAUACGGAGGGUGCAAGCGUUAAUCGGAAUUACUGGGCGUAAAGCGCACGCAGGCGGUUUGUUAAGUCAGAUGUGAAAUCCCCGGGCUCAACCUGGGAACUGCAUUUGAAACUGGCAAGCUAGAGUCUCGUAGAGGGGGGUAGAAUUCCAGGUGUAGCGGUGAAAUGCGUAGAGAUCUGGAGGAAUACCGGUGGCGAAGGCGGCCCCCCUGGACGAAGACUGACGCUCAGGUGCGAAAGCGUGGGGCAGCAAACAGGAUUAGAUACCCUGGUAGUCCACGCUGUAAACGAUGUCGACUUUGGAGGUUGUGCCCUUGAGGCGUGGCUUCCGGAGCUAACGCGUUAAA